AGGGGAGGGUGUCCUGCGUGCACGGAGGCCCAGACUCGGGCACCUUCGCCCCGCGACCACGGGUCCUGCGAAGCAUCAGGUUGACGGAGGCGGGGUCCCCCUCCAGGACGCUCCCCCUCUCGGGGGCUUGGUCACAAGCCCACCGCCUGGUGGGAACGGACCUGGCCUGCCCCGUGCCCCCGUGCCUCCCCCGGCCCCAGGCCCGCCCCACCCACUUCCUGCGUGUCUGGCUUCCCUCGCUGAGCGAGCCGCACCUGACUCCUCGCGUCGUGUGUAUAUCGGUUUAUCGGGGCGACUUUUCUCAGGGGACCGGUAUUCGUCCCAGCACCGUUUCUCCACCGGGAUCGUCCGGUUUUCCGGCGAUCGUGAAUAAAGCCGCCGUAAACGUGCACAUGUAGCUUUUGUCACUUCUCCUGGGAACGUCCAGCAGGGUUGCCGGAUGCACGCUGAACGUUCCACAAAGAGCCAAGGCAUACGUUUUAGGAACGGGACACAGUACGGCACCGCCUGACCUCCUGACGUAGUUAAAUCUCACAGCAAACUAAACUGUGGGCAAUAAUCUGAUGGCGUGACCGAGUCUGGUUCUUGGGCUAUGUCGGCCUGGAGGUUUAUGUACAAGAAAGGAAAAAGCAGAAGCCAUUUUUGUGGAACAUUUGGAGACACGAGAAAACGUCCAACGUUUAUAACUACAUGUGAGCUCUGUAAACCAGCACGGGCAAGAGAGGGGGCUGUGAGAACCCCGGAAUACAGUUCUCUUUGGCCACACAGACCUGUUAAAAGCCAGACUGUAAAUCGACAAAAAGCCGGCAAAUCUGUCCUCACAGCCACGUUGUGGGGAAGCAGGUCCCCCGGGCACGGGCUGCACUGUGGUCGUGCACCGUGAUCCUGGGGUCAGAUCACUUAUCCGCCGCCAUCAGGAGCCACGGGCAAAACCCAUCACUGCAGGGACGUGACGCCUGGAGCCCGUCAUUCAGGCUACAGCCUGUGGGAGCUUGUCAGAGGGAGACGGCGCUUACUUAUUCAACGGUUUCCCGGCUGCCCCCCGUGGGCUCAGCGCGGAGAGCAAGAGUGGCACCUCGGAGGACCCUCCUUCCCCAGCCCACUGCAGCGUCGGUGCUCUGGGUGCGGACGCAUCAGGCCGGGCCGCUGGGCUCGCAGCCUCUGCCUCCCCCUGCUGGCAGCACGCCCACCCUUCCAGGUGCACAGAGAGAAGGACACGAGGGGGGGGGUCUGCUGCUGCUG